UGGGGAAUAUUGGACAAUGGGCGCAAGCCUGAUCCAGCCAUGCCGCGUGAGUGAUGAAGGCCCUAGGGUUGUAAAGCUCUUUCACCGGUGAAGAUAAUGACGGUAACCGGAGAAGAAGCCCCGGCUAACUUCGUGCCAGCAGCCGCGGUAAUACGAAGGGGGCUAGCGUUGUUCGGAUUUACUGGGCGUAAAGCGCACGUAGGCGGACUUUUAAGUCAGGGGUGAAAUCCCGGGGCUCAACCCCGGAACUGCCUUUGAUACUGGAAGUCUUGAGUAUGGUAGAGGUGAGUGGAAUUCCGAGUGGAGAGGUGAAAUUCGUAGAUAUUCGGAGGAACACCAGUGGCGAAGGCGGCUCACUGGACCAUUACUGACGCUGAGGUGCGAAAGCGUGGGGAGCAAACAGG
rnacentral:rRNA from 1 species